CUCAUUCACUCAAAAAAAAAAAAACCCUUAACAUUCAAACUUUACUUUCCCAAAAUUUCACUCACCCUUUUUCGUUCACCAUAAACCCUAAAAUUGUUUGUGGCUUUGUAUUGAUGGGGGGAUACAAAGCUUUCACCCUAGUUCAGAUCCACCCUCUUUCACCCUCGUUUCCAUUCUGGUUCCGAUUCAUACUCCAUCACCCUCGUUUUCGCUCCGGAAACCACCGCCCUCCAAGAUCGUUCCUCCACGAAUGCGUUUUGGAUUAGCUUUGCCGAUGUCGGAGCUUUGUGUCUCCAUCUUCGCCUCUCUGUCACAACCUUCGUUUUUAUUCUUCUUCUUCAUUGGCUGUGAGGACCUAGACCCAUGUGUUGAUACUGUUUUAAGAGGAGACAUGGGACAUUUAGACCUAAAUAUCGAAGCCUCUUCGCGUUUCUCGGUCACAGUCUCUUCAACGUGAUUAUGGGUCGUAAGUUUUUGCUACCUCUCUUUUGUACUUUGUCAAAUUGGAUAAAUAAAUUAUGUGUAUUAGUAAUUGUAUUUUUUUAUGAUGUGGCUUUUGUACUUAGUCAAGCAUCUGAAUCAUUUAUAAGAUGAAUAAAGCAACAACAAAUAAAUGAAACAUUUUCAUGAUGAGUUAUAUGCAUUUUCACUCUUUAACUCUUCGCUUUGAAAACAUCUGAAUCAUUAUGUUAUUGUUUUUGCUCUACGGUGAACAUUUUUGUUGAUCUAGGAAGUGUUUGAUAGGAACCAAUGAUUUGUUUUUUAGCAAAAAGGUUUUGACACAUAUACUUUAAUGAUUUGUUUUGUUAAAAGCUGGAGUUGAUGGCUUAAUAGUUGUAUUGCGUAUAUUUUCAUUGCACUUUGGUCUCUUUAUUUCAUUGAACUAUAUCCAUUUUCCUAGCUUUUCUUUUUGGCUUGUAUCACCGUGUUUUCAUAGCUUUUCUUUUCAUUGAACAUAUAUCUUUAGGCUUAUAUUGCUUGUUAGUUGCUAGUUGUCAAUACACAUUAGCCAAUUCCCUUAAUCCUUAAAGUAGUUUUUUAGAAUAAUCACUUGGGAUAGCUGCUUUCUCUGAGUUUUUAUGUAGUUUCUUUUGCUUUUGAUACUCAUAUAUAGUAUAUUUGCAAAUGUAUAUGUGUGAAUAUGUGUUCUUUGUUGAUGUAUGAGUUAGAGUGGAGUGGAUUUAUUUUCACUCAUUGAUGCCUCAACCAUGUUGUAUUUAAAUAUGCAGUCCAAUAAGCAUGCUAUUCGCUUUCUCCUUGUUGAUAAUAUGAUAAGAGGCUGUCCACAUAUUGUCUUUCUUUAGCUUUUCCCUUUGUAAUAAUUGGGAGUCGAGAUGUCCAUUAUAUAUAUAUAUAUAUUGAGUGUUAUUAAUUGUGACUUGUUUUUAUUAUUGAUAUUGACUUCAAUACAAAGCUGAUUGUAAAAACUACUUUUUGAUGGUGUUGUUGGGACUUCGUUUGUUCAGUUCUGCAGGUCCUCUGAUGCCCUGAAUAGGUCAUCCUUUGCUGCUCUGCUUUUCUUCUUCUAUCAGUCUAGCUGUUUCCAUUCUAAUAUGUUGUGUUGGUCUUCUUGUUUGCAGAUGGCUGAAGCAGUGCUUCAGUGAUGUUGGUGUAGCAGAUUUUCUGCUGUCAUAUCUUUUUUGGGGCACUUGUUUAUGAAAAACCUUCCUACAAGCUUAAAGAUUCAAGCUUAUCGCAAUGAAAAAGUCAGGACUUUCAUAAUGUAUAUAUAAGAACUGACAGGAGAUUAUAUGUUAAAUGUACUAGUUACAAGGUAUUUGUUCUUCUUAUAGAGAACUAGUUGGUGUACAUUAGUUACACUAAAUCUUGCUUACCAUAUACUGUAGUUUUAUUAAGUUUUUUAUUCAUGAUGGUUAUGUGUGCGUUGUAUUAAAGUAUGGCUGCAACUUACUUUUGAGAUUGAACAAGUUUGAACAUAGUCAAUUGACAGCAAUUUUGCUAGUGCUAGUAGUGUACCUUGUUAUUUUUAGUUUCUUAAAAAGAUUUUUUUACUCUAACUGUGCAUUAUGACUUUUUGUGCUGGAUUUGAUGUGUCAUUCCUAUAUUGUUGUAUUAGAUGCAAUAAUUAUUGGGUGUAGUUUUUUUAUAAUUUUUUUAAAAAAA